rnacentral:rRNA from 1 species
UACGUAGGGGGCUAGCGUUGUCCGGAAUCAUUUGGCGUAAAGCGCGUGUAGGCGGUUCGGUAAGUCCGCUGUGAAAGUCGGGGGCUCAACCCUCGAAUGCCGGUGGAUACUGUCGGACUAGAGUACGGAAGAGGCGAGUGGAAUUCCUGGUGUAGCGGUGAAAUGCGCAGAUAUCAGGAGGAACACCAAUUGCGAAGGCAGCUCGCUGGGACGUUACUGACGCUGAGACGCGAAAGCGUGGGGAGCGAACAGG